rnacentral:lncRNA from 1 species
GUGAGGAAGUCCCAGAGGGCCGUGGGACUUAGUGGUCGGGCCCGUGGGUCUCGAUCCAGUGGCAGUGUUGGCAAGCACGGCCAGGGGCAGGAAGGGACUUAGUGGGGACUGACAGAGGGACAUUGGGGAAGGCUAUUCCCCUUGUCGGUGGGCAUCCUAAGGAUGCUAAGGAGUGGAUCUGAGAUGACCACUCACGGAUGGUUUGCCUAGUCUUGGAGAGCCAAGACGGUGAUGCAAGUGGUAUUGGACUACCAGUGUGGCAAAGGUGAUUGGGCAUGGCCUUAGCGUAACGGGCUGCUAUGUCGGUGGUACCUUUGAGUGUCGGUCAUGGG